UACAAAGCCAUUUUAGCAUUUGCUUUCUAUACCUGGAUCCAUGUUUCUGAGGAAGAGGAUAUUCUCAGGUGAUAUAUUUUUUCAUGCUUUGGUAGGCAUUUUUUAAGAUAAUAUAUGUUUCUUCUGUAAUAUUCACCUUCUAUAAGAUGCCAUGUGAAGAAGUUGUAGCAAUAUAGAAUAAAAAACUGAAGCUGCCAAAUUUCUGCUGAACUCUUAAAAACAGCCCGUUCUGGUCAUCUCGUGUUGUGACAUUCCUGUGAGCAUAGCAGCCCUUUUGGACUGCAACAAGGCUGCAGGUUUCUCAUAUAACUGCGUCGCUGGAAUGUGUUUCGGGUGCUGUGGUAAGAGGGGUGCUGUAAAUUGGGCACCUCAUCCUGCUUCCACAGUCCCUCAGCGUCGCCUUCUGAGAGACCGCUCAUGGUUUAAGCUGAGCAAAAAGACCACACAAGAGUCAUGUAAUAGGUAAGAGAGGAGAAGGGGAAAUCUGUGAAUUUCCAAGCAUUAGUUCAUUUUCAGUGUAAGAUUUUCAUUUCAGUGAAAGUGGCACCAGAAAAGGGAAUUUUCUGAGUAUGAGCGUUUGAGGAUGCCAAACCGUAUUUUUGUCACCCUGCUUUGGAAAUCGUUGCCUUCACAUAGAAAAAGCAAAUUCAGGGACCGUGAGUAAUUUUCCAUCGGAAGGUCUCCCUAAUCUGAGGUCUGAGGUAGUUUUUACUUUAUUGUGCUUUUCUUUAAUCUUUUUUUUUUUUUUAAUCUUUAGUAUUUGUUUGGUCUUCUUUUGCUUUAAACGUUUAAUUGAUCCUAGAAAAGCCUGAAUGUUUGUGUGUGACAUUUGACUGAGGUGGUUUGGGGCCGCCUGGGGAUGCUAGAAGACAGACAGGUGGCAGGCUUGAGCAAUAUCCAGUUUUAAUCAGUUGCACUUGGUACAGAAUGUUCUGGAAUGGUGAAAACUGUUGUCUUUGGAAAGCACAAAAGAAACCUGGAAGGCAGUUCAGCUCAGGUAGCCACACACCUGCUGUGUGUAAUUUUUACUUUGAAGCUGUCUACGAGGAAACGCAGCCAGGCCCAGCCACUAUUUACAUUCCCAGAUAACCAAGAAGCAGGUAGAUUUUCAUGGCCUUUCCCUAGUCAGAGGCCUUUUCUCUGUCCUGAACCCAGGUAUAGGUGAAAUUGGAAAUUACUAGUCUAUUGCAAAUCAGUUUCUGACAUAGCAAAGUUUGCUUUCAUAAUUGCAGCAAAAGAAGUCAGUUCACCAAGUCAAUGCUGCAUGUGUGUACUGUAUUACUUUCGGGAAGAAAAAAUAUAUAGUAGUCUGAGUCCAAGUUAUCUUGAUUAUAAAUUGAUAGAGAAAACAAGAAACUGUCAAGCAAGUUAUAUAACAACUAAC
rnacentral:lncRNA from 1 species